GAUGAAGAACGCAGUGAAAUGCGAUAAGUAAUGUGAAUUGCAGAAUUCAGUGAAUCAUCGAAUCUUUGAACGCACAUUGCGCCCGUCAGUAUUCUGGCGGGCAUGCCUGUUCGAGCGUCAUUACGCCCCUCAAGUCCCCUGUGGACUUGGUGUUGGGGAUCGGCGAGGCUGGUUUUCCAGCACAGCCGUCCCUUAAAUUAAUUGGCGGUCUCGCCGUGGCCCUCCUCUGCGCAGUAGUAAAACACUCGCAACAGGAGCCCGGCGCGGUCCACUGCCGUAAAACCCCCCAACUUUUUAUAGUUGACCUCGAAUCAGGUAGGACUACCCGCUGAACUUAAGCAUAUCAAUAGCGGAGGA
rnacentral:misc_RNA from 1 species